rnacentral:lncRNA from 1 species
GCACUGGCUCUUUUAGGAAUCCCCAUCAAGUUGAAGUUCUGUCCAUUCUUGCUUUGUAAAUAAAUGGGACGCUGGCCCUUUAAAUCUUGGCAGGAGGCGGUCCUUGUUUGGAGCGCGAGGCGCGUGGGAGGAGGAGGAGGAGGAGGAGGAGCGCGGGUUACGUCCGCCAUACAGAUGCAAACCAAAUGAACGUUGGAUCCCGAGGACUAGCUCUAGCCUGAACUACUGCUCCUCUGUUAUUCUCCACGUGAAGAUUCACGGUCAAGAUGAAACCCAAACCUCAAGAAAACGUGGAAUGAUUCUGACUUUCAAUAUCCAAAAGUUUUCCAAUAGAGGUCUCCUUUAAAUCCUUUUUG